UUCCGGUUGAUCCCGCCGGACCCCACUGCUAUCGAGAUGGGACUAAGGUAUGCUAGUCGAACGACCAGAACUAUGUCUGGGAGUGGCACACUGCUCAGUAACACGUAGCUAACCUACCCUUAGGACGUGGAUACCCCCGAGAAAUUGGGGUUAAUCCGCGAUAGAUGUAAUGUCCUGGAAUGGUAUUACGUCUAAAGGUAUUUCAUACAUGUUUGAAAUAUGCCUAAGGAUGGGGCUGCGGCCGAUCAGGCUGUUGGUGAGGUAAUGGCUCACCAAACCUUUGACCGGUACGGGCCAUGAGAGUGGUAGCCCGGAGAUGGACACUGAGACAAGGGUCCAGGCCCUAAGGGGCGCAGCAACCGCGAAACCUCCACAAUGCACUCACGUGCGAUGGGGCUAUCUCGAGUGCCACCUGAUGAAGGUGGCUUUUCCUAGGUCUUCAAAGCCUUGGGAAUAAGAGGGGGGCAAGACUGGUGUCAGCCGCCGCGGUAACACCAGCCCCUCGAGUGGUGGGGAUGAUUAUUUGGCCUAAAGCGUCCGUAGCCGGCCGAGCAAGUCUUCCGUUAAAUCCAGCGUCUCAAGCGUUGGACUGCGGGAGAUACUGCAGGGCUAGAGAGUGGGAGAGGUCAGCGGUAUUCUGGGGGUAGGGGCGAAAUCCUUUGAUCCCCGGAGGACCACCAGUGGCGAAGGCUGCUGACUAGAACACGUCUGA
rnacentral:rRNA from 1 species